rnacentral:rRNA from 1 species
CCUACGGGAGGCAGCAGUGAGGAAUAUUGGUCAAUGGGAGAGAUCCUGAACCAGCCAAGCCGCGUGAGGGAAGACGGCUCUAUGGGUUGUAAACCUCUUUUGUCGGAGAACAAAACCCGGGACGUGUCCCGGACUGCGUGUAUCCGACGAAAAAGCAUCGGCUAACUCCGUGCCAGCAGCCGCGGUAAUACGGAGGAUGCGAGCGUUAUCCGGAUUUAUUGGGGUUAAAGGGUGCGUAGGCGGUCCGUUAAGUCGGCGGGAAAAUUGCGGGGCUCAACCCCGUCGAGCCGUUGAAACUGGCAGACUUGAGUGGGCGAGAGGUACGCGGAAUGCGCGGUGUAGCGGUGAAAUGCAUAGAGAUCGCGAAGAACUCCGAUUGCGAAGGCAGCGUGCCGGCGCCAGACUGACGCUGAGGCACGAAAGCGUGGGGAUCGAACAGGAUUAGAUACCCUUGUAGUC